rnacentral:rRNA from 1 species
UNCCGCCUGGGGAGUACGGUCGCAAGGCUNNNNNUCAAAGGAAUUGACGGGGGCCCGCACAAGCGGUGGAGCAUGUGGUUUAAUUCGACGCAACGCGAAGAACCUUACCCAGGCUUGAACUGCAGGUGACAACCUACGAAAGUAGGCUUCCGCAAGGACGCCUGUAGAGGUGCUGCAUGGCUGUCGUCAGCUCGUGUCGUGAGAUGUUGGGUUAAGUCCCGCAACGAGCGCAACCCUUGUCUUCUGUUGCCAUCGGGUCAAGCCGGGCACUCUGAAGAGACUGCCGGUGACAAACCGGAGGAAGGUGGGGAUGACGUCAAGUCAGCAUGGCCUUUAUGUCUGGGGCCACACACGUGCUACAAUGGCCGGUACAAACCGUCGCGAGCCCGCGAGGGGGAGCUAAUCGGAUAAAGCCGGUCUCAGUUCGGAUUGCAGGCUGCAACUCGCCUGCAUGAAGUUGGAAUCGCUAGUAAUCGCGGAUCAGCACGCCGCGGUGAAUACGUUCCCGGGCCUUGUACACACCGCCCGUCACAUCACGAAAGCUGGCUGUACUAGAAGUAGCUGCGCUAACCCGCAAGGGAGGCAGGUUCCUAAGGUAUGGUCAGUGAUUGGGGUGAAGUCGUAACAAGGUAGCCG